rnacentral:rRNA from 1 species
CCUACGGGCGGCAGCAGUGAGGAAUAUUGGUCAAUGGGCGGAAGCCUGAACCAGCCAAGUCGCGUGAGGGAAUAAGGCCCUACGGGUCGUAAACCUCUUUUGCCGGGGAGCAAGGGCGGGGACGUGUCCCGGCCCGGAGAGUACCCGGAGAAAAAGCAUCGGCUAACUCCGUGCCAGCAGCCGCGGUAAUACGGAGGAUGCGAGCGUUAUCCGGAUUUAUUGGGUUUAAAGGGUGCGUAGGCGGGCUUUUAAGUCAGCGGUAAAAAUUCGGGGCUCAACCACGUCCGGCCGGUGAAACGGGGGGCAUGGAGGGGGCGAGAAUAAGGCGGAAGGCGUGGGGGAGCGGUGAAAUGCAUAG